rnacentral:rRNA from 1 species
CUACGGGUGGCUCCAGUGGGGAAUAUUGGACAAUGGGGGAAACCCUGAUCCAGCAAUGCCGCGUGUGUGAAGAAGGCCUGCGGGUUGUAAAGCACUUUCGGUUGGGAGGACUGCUUCUAGCACUAAUAUUGUUGGAAGUUGACGUUACCUUCAGAAGAAGCACCGGCUAACUCCGUGCCAGCAGCCGCGGUGGAAUACGGAGGGUGCAAGCGUUAAUCGGAAUUACUGGGCGUAAAGCGCGCGUAGGCGGCUAGAUCAGUCGGGUGUGAAAGCCCCGGGCUUAACCUGGGAACUGCAUCCGAUACUGGCUAGCUUGAGUACAGGAGAGGAGAGUGGAAUUCCACAUGUAGCGGUGAAAUGCGUAGAUAUGUGGAGGAACACCAAUGGCGAAGGCAGCUCUCUGGCCUGAUACUGACGCUGAGGUGCGAAAGCGUGGGGAGCAAACAGGAUUAGAUACCCUUGUAGUC